rnacentral:lncRNA from 1 species
UUGCAUAGAAAAGCAUACUAUGCUACAUAGUUUGAGGCUAAAGCUUUUAGCCAGGUUCGGAACGAUGCCUAACUUGUAAGCUCGUUAUGAACAAGUCGUUGAACUUUAUUGGAAGUUUGUUCCACCUUACUUCUUGAUCGGUGCAAAGUGAGUUGUGCUCGACAAGACAUCUCAGCAUAAGUCGCGGACAUUAGACCGUUGAUAAUGAGAUGCCAAUAAUAUCGAUGAAACACUCAUGGGCGAAAGAGAGCUAAGGACAACCAUUGUAGCGUGGAUCCUUUGGUGGUUUAUGAGGUUAAGGUUGAUGUGGACGAACUUCAAAAAACCUAAAAGGCAUCCUGUGUUUAUCGUGAGCGAUCAAGGGCCUGUGACAACAUGAAUCCGAUGUGACGCGUUUGAUAAUUGAGAGCCAAAGAAUCGAGCUUAGGCCGGAGCCUGUGAUCGAGGGUUUGGAUCUUGUCUGAGAGUUGGGGAAUCGUCCUGCAAAAACAGAAAACCGUUAGGCUCGUCGCAGAGAUGGGAGGGCCCCUCUGCGACUACCAUCCGGCGUGAGGAUAAGUAUUGGUAGAGAGAGAAAGUAGAGAG